GCCCGCUUGGCUCAUCGGUAGAGCGCCUCACUAGUAUCCUUUCCAGGAAGCAAUGAGGAGGCAAUUGGUUCGACUCCAGUAGUGGGCA
rfam:Pestalotiopsis fici W106-1 unplaced genomic scaffold PFICI_Scf_1, whole genome shotgun sequence.